rnacentral:rRNA from 1 species
AGUGAACGCUGGCGGUAGGCCUAACACAUGCAAGUCGAACGGCAGCACAGUAAGAGCUUGCUCUUACGGGUGGCGAGUGGCGGACGGGUGAGGAAUGCAUCGGAAUCUACUUUUUCGUGGGGGAUAACGUAGGGAAACUUACGCUAAUUCCGCAUACGACCUACGGGUGAAAGCAGGGGAUCUUCGGACCUUGCGCGAUUGAAUGAGCCGAUGUCGGAUUAGCUAGUUGGCGGGGUAAAGGCCCACCAAGGCGACGAUCCGUAGCUGGUCUGAGAGGAUGAUCAGCCACACUGGAACUGAGACACGGUCCAGACUCCUACGGGAGGCAGCAGUGGGGAAUAUUGGACAAUGGGCGCAAGCCUGAUCCAGCCAUACCGCGUGGGUGAAGAAGGCCUUCGGGUUGUAAAGCCCUUUUGUUGGGAAAGAAAAGCAGCAGGUUAAUACCCCGCUGUUCUGACGGUACCCAAAGAAUAAGCACCGGCUAACUUCGUG